ACCCACGUAGCUCAGUUGGUAGAGCAUGAGACUCUUCAUCUUAGGGUUGUGGGUUCAAGGCCUAUGUUGGGCA